rnacentral:ncRNA from 1 species
GGCUGAGGUUGCGAAGGCGCAUGAGUACCCCCUCAUAGGACGGCUGACAGGCCGGAGGGAGAAAAGGGCGCUUCGCCGAAGUGUGCAGUGCCCUGUCAGGCGCUGUAUGCUGGGCCGGUACAGAAUAUGUGCCGGACUGUCAUCCUUCUUUGGAUGGAGCGCUUCCAU